UGAUUUUAAGAAUUAAAAUCAGUUCGAAUUUACAACUCAACUCACAAAUGUCUAGCCAAACGAAAAGAUUAAGCAACAACAACAGCGACAAGCAACGCUGACGAGCGAAAGAGAAUAUUUAUAUGCAAAAACUAACAAUUGCAGGCGAAUCUAUGUAGCCGCGAAUCUAAUGCGAAUCUACUUCUAUUCCAAUCUUUUCAGGUAAAAACGGGGGCACCAAUUUUUGUCUUCACUCGAGCUUUCAAUUUGCAUACAAAUACCAUUGUUUUGGAACGAAUUUCCAGAACUGCAGAACUUGCGUUUUGCACACACCCACGAGACGCGGUCACUUUGGCAAUUUGUUGUACAUAUGUAUGUAUGUAUACAUAUGGAUGCGUAUACCUUUUUGGGGACGCCAAAUACCGAGUGUUUGGUGGCUGAAAAAUAAUAUAUAUCUUAACGACGAACGAUGGAAAACCUUGUGAGCCGCGGCGAAGGCCUACUACUAGGCAGACCUCUACUCUAAUA